rnacentral:misc_RNA from 1 species
GAUGAAGAACGUAGCGAAAUGCGAUAAGUAAUGUGAAUUGCAGAAUUCAGUGAAUCAUCGAAUCUUUGAACGCAUCUUGCGCUCCUUGGUAUUCCAUGGAGCAUGCCUGUUUGAGUGUCACGUAAACCCUCACCCUUGCGAUGUAACAGUCGUUCGCGGUGGACUUGGACCGUGCCGUAGUUGGCUCGUCCUGAAAUGCAUUAGCUGGCGCUUUUAGAGUGCUGGGCGACGGUGUGAUAAUUAUCUGCGCCAAUGCCCCGGGCCUCUUCAGCGGUGCCGCUUACAGUCGUCCCCAGAGGACAACGUAUUUAAAGCUUUGGCCUCAAAUCAGGUAGGAUUACCCGCUGAACUUAAGCAUAUCAAUAAGCGGAGGA